UGGGGCGGGUGGGAUGGGGCGGCGCUGUGACCUCCGGAGCGUGUCGAGCUCAGGCGUUGCCGCGCUUCAGAGUUGAGAGAUUUGGGGUUUAAGCACCGCGUGGAAAUCAGAUUUACAUUUUUCUUCUUAUUACGAAAAUCAAAUUAGGAAAGAAUCAAGUGGAUACUAGUACAAAACUUUGCUGUAUCAAUAAAAGCAAUUAAUCGGGCACCUGCAUGCAGUUUACACUUGGAUUUACAUCUUUCAUUUUUGGCAAACCUUUAAUGUAGUACAGUAAUUGGGUUUUCAAAUUGCAAAUAGGGACACGAGUAUAUCAAUAGCAAACAUUUAAUUAUAUAAGUAUGCAGGUUACAACUGGAUGUGUACUGUAGUAACUGAGAUGGGGCUACUGCCCUCUGCAACCGGAUUUACAUCCAUUCGCAGCAAAAAAAAAAGAAAAAAAAGAAGGAUCAUUCUACUUUAAGGUUCAAGUAACGCUUUGAGAUUCAUGUAAACUAAGAGAUCGACCACAAUGCAAGAAAAAUUGUACAACAAAAGUUGAUAUACCUGGAUUUUGCUUCAACUUCACUUAAAAAGUUGUGUGAUCAAAUUUCCCACCAUGAGGAAAAUCACUCAUACUAAAGUAAAAAAAAAUGUUAUUUUUUGAAAAUAACCUGAUAAACUUAAACUAUUUGUGUUAUCAAUGACAAUAAACCACAUACCAUAACUAGAUUGAGAACCAAAGGAACUAUAUAACAUAGAUCUAGAAAUAAAAUUUACUUUGAUUUAGUAAGAAAAAAGGUUUGGAGUAACAAUAUUUUUCGUGUACCACUUACCUUUUGAGACGCGGUUUAUACUGCAUCUUGCCAUUGGAACCCAUCGGCGGCGUCUCAUCAUUCGGGGUGCUCAUGCCGUAGCAAGUAGUUGGACUAAGGGGCCUUGAUAAGAUGCCUAAGGUGUAGUUGUGUGGGGUUUUCUAGAUAGUAGUCUAGACAACGAGACUAAACAUGUACAAUAUGUUUGACAUGCUUUGUCGGAUAUGGAAGAAAGCGUCGAUUUUUCUUCAGGGGAGUCUCAGAUCCACAUGUGCGGCUGUAACCACAAAGCAAAGAUGGUCAAAAUUGAAUAAGGCAAUGAGAUGUCACUGUCCGAUGAAAUCGGGUAAGUGUUAAGGUGCGAUAACAACAAGACAGCCGGAGAGGAGGAACACGAGGAAGAUAAUGGAUACCUGGAGUGAAGGAUGUUGGCGGCGGCGGCGGAUGGAAUGAAUUGUAUGUUCGGGUUUAUAUAACUGAAAUUUAGGGUUUCAAAACUAGCUGAUCAAAUGUGUCAAUGGGCCUGUUGUUUUCAUGGGCCUACCUGUUAC
rnacentral:lncRNA from 1 species